rnacentral:misc_RNA from 1 species
GCCACAUUCUGUUUUGCCCAAAACAGAAAGAAAAAUUGGCGAAUUCUAGAGAUAACUUCGCCAUGGCAGCUGCUCUGAGAUUAUCAUGUUUGUGUUUUCUUCAAUUGCUGAUUGUGAUCGUACUAUUCAUCAACUCUUCGGCCGAUAACAGUAUUGAACAAGCAGAGCAAUUUCAGAGCUUAAGUAACUCGACUAUGACGAACAGGUUAAGUGGAAACGAUGAACUUAGGCAUGAACAUGCUGAAGAUGAUCCAGAAGCCAUUGCUUCCAUGGUGGAUAUGAGCAUUAGGAAUAGCACAGAGAGGAGGAAAUUGGGUUACUUCUCAUGUAGGACGGGAAAUCCUAUUGAUGAUUGUUGGCGAUGCGAUCGCAAUUGGCAACGUAAUCGCAGACGCUUAGCUGACUGUUCAAUUGGUUUUGGACGUAACGCUAUUGGUGGCCGAGAUGGCAGGUUUUAUGUUGUUACUGACUCGGGUGAUGAUGAUCCAGUAAAUCCCCGACCUGGAACACUCCGUCAUGCUGUAAUUCAAGAUGAGCCAUUGUGGAUAGUGUUUAAACGUGAUAUGCACAUCACACUUAAGCAAGAACUGAUCAUGAAUAGUUUCAAAACAAUAGAUGCUCGUGGUGUGAACGUGCAUAUCGCGAAUGGGGCUUGUAUUACUAUCCAAUUUGUUACUAAUAUUAUCAUUCAUGGUCUCCACAUUCA